CUUUGUGCUAAGACAGUGAAUAUUUCCUUACUUGAAGGUGAACUUGGUUAAGGCAUCGUCCACAGUGCCGCUUCCCCAGGUGCUGUCCAAGAGGUGCCACCUCCCAUCGAGGUAGACGGCAUUCCAGGCAUGGUCAGAGUUCCCCUGGAAGGUCUGCCCAAUCUUGUACCCGUAGCCCUUGGAGUACCCCGACAGUUUCAUGCACUGGAUCCCUGCAACGCUGCACAUUUGCUGGAAGAGCCCAGCGUAUCCCUCGCAGACGCUCUUCCCCGUCCGCAGCACGUCCGUGGGUUUGCACAGCCGCAGGCUUUUGUU
rnacentral:lncRNA from 1 species